AAAACACUUGUUCCCAUAUGAUCACCAAAGUUAAGCAACGUCAAGCCUGGUCAGUACCUAAAUGGUUAACCACCUGAGAAUACCAGGUGAUGUAAG